UACGAAGGGGGCUAGCGUUGUUCGGAAUUACUGGGCGUAAGGCGUAUGUAGGCGGAUCUUUAAGUCAGGGGUGAAAUCCCGAGGCUCAACCUCGGAACUGCCUUUGAUACUGGGGAUCUUGAGUCCGGGAGAGGUUAGUGGAACUGCGAGUGUAGAGGUGAAAUUCGUAGAUAUUCGCAAGAACACCAGUGGCGAAGGCGGCUAACUGGCCCGGUACUGACGCUGAAAUACGAAAGCGUGGGGAGCAAACAGGG
rnacentral:rRNA from 1 species